rnacentral:tRNA from 1 species
GCCGAAGUGGCGGAACCGGCAGACGCCGCGGACUUAAAAUCCGCUGGGGACAACCCCGUGGGGGUUCGAAUCCCCCCUUCGGCA